rnacentral:rRNA from 1 species
UAGUGAGUUUGAUCCUGGCUCAGGAUGAACGCUAGCGGCAGGCCUAAUACAUGCAAGUCGAACGGGCAGCAAUGUCAGUGGCGAACGGGUGCGUAACGCGUAAGGAACCUGCCCCUCACUGGGGGAUAGCUUUGCGAAAGCGAAGGUAAACCCGCAUGGUUCAGUCGAACGGCAUCGUUCGAUUGAUAAACAUUUAGUGGGUGAGGGAGGGUCUUGCGUCUGAUUAGCUAGUUGGUGGGGUAAA